UACGUAGGGCGCAAGCGUUGUCCGGAAUUAUUGGGCGUAAAGAGCUCGUAGGCGGUUUGUCACGUCGGCUGUGAAAACCCGAGGCUCAACCUCGGGCCUGCAGUCGAUACGGGCAGACUAGAGUGCUGUAGGGGAGACUGGAAUUCCUGGUGUAGCGAUGAAAUGCGCAGAUAUCAGGAGGAACACCGGUGGCGAAGGCGGGUCUCUGGGCAGUAACUGACGCUGAGGAGCGAAAGCGUGGGGAGCAAACAGG
rnacentral:rRNA from 1 species